CUUAAUAGCUACUCCAUACUUUUCUCCCAUAGUGGGACAUUAACCGCACAUGAGUCAUCAUAACUUUCUCCUGUCAUACAGGAUAAGGCUGUUGGGGAACGUCGCAUGGGAAACAAAAAUUUUCCUACGCGCACGAAGACCUAUCAUGGUGAUGUCCAUCUACGAGAGGGGAUGAGUGAUCUACGUACCCUUGUAGAUCGUACAGCAGAAGCGUUAGAGAACGCGGUUGAUGUAGUGGAACGUCCUCACGUCCCUCGAUCCGCCCCGCGAACAAUCCCGCGAUCAGUCCCACGAUCUAGUACCCAACGGA
rnacentral:lncRNA from 1 species